GUAGGUGGCAAGCGUUGUCCGGAAUUAUUGGGCGUAAAGCGCGCGCAGGUGGUCUUUAAGUCUGAUGUGAAAGCCCCCGGCUCAACCGGGGAGGGUCAUUGGAAACUGGGGAACUUGAGUGCAGGAGAGGAAAGUGGAAUUCCACGUGUAGCGGUGAAAUGCGUAGAUAUGUGGAGGAACACCAGUGGCGAAGGCGACUUUCUGGCCUGUAACUGACACUGAGGCGCGAAAGCGUGGGGAGCAAACAGGAUUAGAUACCCUGGUAGUCCACGCCGUAAACGAUGAGUGCUAAGUGUUGGGGGGUUUCCGCCCCUCAGUGCUGCAGCUAACGCAUUAAGCACUCCGCCUGGGGAGUACGGUCGCAAAGACUG
rnacentral:rRNA from 1 species